UACGUAGGGGCCUAGCGUUGUCCGGAAUCAUUGGGCGUAAAGAGCGUGUAGGCGGUCCGGUAAGUCCGCUGUGAAAGUCGGGGGCUCAACCCUCGAAUGCCGGUGGAUACUGUCGGGCUAGAGUGCGGAAGAGGCGAGUGGAAUUCCUGGUGUAGCGGUGAAAUGCGCAGAUAUCAGGAGGAACACCUAUUGCGAAGGCAGCUCGCUGGGACGUAACUGACGCUGAGACGCGAAAGCGUGGGGAGCAAACAGG
rnacentral:rRNA from 1 species